rnacentral:lncRNA from 1 species
AGCCGAGGCGGUGGCCACGGUGGUGGCUGCCGUUGACCUGGCACGGGUCCGAGGGCCAGUGGUGCAUGUUGAAGGGGGCGGAGCCAAAGAGCAGGAGGUGGAGUUAAGGUCAUUUGGAGGCGGGUCGCAGGCUGGAGUACAGAUCAUAACCACUGCUCAGGAGUUGAAAACCAGUGAAACCAGUGAAACCAGUGAAAGGCUUCUGCAGAUGAACAGACAGAUCCACAUUCAGAAAACCUCCUCCCAUGUGGACUCUGGUCCUGGUCCAUCUCCACUUCCACAGUUUACAGUUUCUAAAGUUUCUAUCCCAAAGCCUGAUUCUGGUGGCGAGGUUUCCAUUGCCGGCUCGGCGUUCGCCACUCUGCAUAAAGAGUUAUCGUCCUCCGCCGCUGCCGCUCGGAUGAUCAUCAAACCCGUCAAGUCUCCGAGUCCGGCUCGUUCGGCGGCGGAGGUGCGACGGACCCCGGAGCCGGUGCUGCCACCGUUCAGAGACUCUGUGG